rnacentral:rRNA from 1 species
AGCUCCAAUAGCGUAUAUUAAAGUUGUUGCAGUUAAAAAGCUCGUAGUUGAAGUUAUGGGGCUCUGAACCUGACGCAUAACCGCCUCGGUUCAGUGCUCCAUAUUCACAAAGAUGCUCUUGCACAUUAACUUGUGCUUGGGCGGAGUUGUGUCAUUUACUGUGAACAAAUUAGGGUGUUUAAAGCAGGCCUCCGUUUGGAUACAUUAGCAUGGAAUAAUAAGAUAUAACUUUGAUUGUAUUUUGUUGGUGACUAUCAAAGUAAUGAUUGACAGAAACUGUUGUGGGUAUUCGUAUGAGCAUGUCAGAGGUGAAAUUCUUGGAUUUUGAUCAGACGAACUACUGCGAAAGCAUUUACCAAGGAUGUUUUCA